rnacentral:rRNA from 1 species
AUUGAACGCUGGCGGCAUGCCUUACACAUGCAAGUCGAACGGCAGCGGGCCUUCGGGUGCCGGCGAGUGGCGAACGGGUGAGUAAUGCAUCGGAACGCGCCAUUGAGUGGGGGAUAACGUAGCGAAAGUUGCGCUAAUACCGCAUAUUCUGUGAGCAGGAAAGCAGGGGACCGCAAGGCCUUGCGCUCUUUGAGCGGCCGAUGUCAGAUUAGCUAGUUGGUGAGGUAAAGGCUUACCAAGGCGACGAUCUGUAGCGGGUCUGAGAGGAUGAUCCGCCACACUGGAACUGAGACACGGUCCAGACUCCUACGGGAGGCAGCAGUGGGGAAUUUUGGACAAUGGGGGCAACCCUGAUCCAGCCAUGCCGCGUGAGUGAAGAAGGCCUCGGUUGUAA